GCCAAGGUGGCCGGGGGUUAAGGCGCUGCACUCAAGAUCUGAUUGGUUGAUCUUAUCCUGUAUAACGGGACGCAUUGCAGUAUCGAGAGAUGCUUGGGUUAGAAUCCCAACCUUGGCA